AAGAGGCAAGGUAUUACUAUGUUGCCCAGGAUGGUCUUGAACUCUUGGACUCAAGUGAUCUGCCUGCCUCGGCCUCCCAAAGUGCUAAAGUGCUAGGAUUACAGGCGUGAGCCACCGUGUCUGGCUGUCAUUUUUUUCUUUUUGUGGAGACACAGUCUCAGUAUGUUGCCUAAGCUGGUCUUGAACUCCUGGCCUCAAACAAUCCUCUCGCUCCAGCAUCCAAAGUGCUGGGAUUACUGGUGUGAGCCACUGCACCAGGCUUGUUCCUGUGUUUUUGGGUGUAAGCAGUAUCUUAACAGUCUCAAUUAGUCUUAAAAUUAUUUUAGACUAGUUCAGAAAGUCUUUAAGAAAGCUAGAAAAAUUAUACAUCUGAAUUUUUUAAAAAAAUUUUAAUCUGUUUUGAGAGGUACUAGUCAAAUACAUUGUAAGAUGUCCUUCUAUUGGAAUUUGUCUGAUGUUUUUCUCAUUAGACUGGAGUUACAGGUUUUGGGCAGGAAGACCACAGAGGUAAAGUGCCAUUUUCAUCACAUCAUAUCAAGGGUACAUGCUAUCAACAUGAUUUAUGACUUAAUAUUGACCUUGACUGUUCAUAUUGACCUGAAAUAGUGUUUGUGAGGUUUCUACAGUGAAUUUACUUUUUUUUCCCCUCCUUUUCUAUACUGUAUUCUUUGAAGGGAAGUCACUGUUUGCAGCCCACACUUAAGGAAUGGGGAGUUCCUUGAUCUUAGGGUGGAGUACCUACUUAAUUUAUUUGAAAUUCUUGUCUCUCCUUUCCCAUUUAUUAGUUUAGUCAAGUAUUUACUGAUAAUAGUGUGGACUCAAGUAUAUUUAUUUUAUAUUUUAGGUUACACUCCAAUAUUACAUUAUUUUGUUGUUCAGGUUGUUCCAGCUUUGUCCUUUGGGAGCUUCCUGUAUUCCUUUAACAUACAUGUGUGUGUGUGUGCGCGUAUUUGUAUUGAUCUUUGAGUACUUCCUUACUAUCUGGAAAUGUUCCAGGCUCAUCUUGUGUAUUUCUUGUCCCAGUGCUAGAAUCAGCCAUUUCCCCAAGGUGCCCUGGUUCCCUUAUUGGAGAAUGCUAUUAGAAACAAGACCUGGGUACUGAGUGUUCUCUUUGCUACUGGGGUGUCAUUUCUUUUAGGUCCUUUCAACUGUUAGAGCAAAGAAAUAUAUGAAUGUAUGCUAACCCCAUGUAUAUAGACAUAUCUAUAAAUAUUUCUCUAUGUAGCCAUCUGUGUCUAUAUUAAGUUAAACGAGUUCCAUAGAUCACUUUCAGUAGUAUGGGCGGGGGGGAAAAACAUGAGUUCCUACUGGUGUCUCCAAUUCUGAUCCAUUAUCACAUAGAUCAUUCUAGCCUCCUCCCCUUGCUGAUCUUUGAAUUUCCAUUCACAAUAGUGAAAAACCUAAUUUCCACCAUCCAUUUAUUUAAUUGUCCAGUUCCAUUAUAUAUGGAUAUACAUACAUGGAUAGCAGUAUCAGAAUUGCUAACCCAUACUCCAUGAAAAAAACUUUAUCAACUAGAGUACAUACUUCUGUGCAGUUCCUUUUGCCCUUAAUCUUUCAGACUCCACUCAUUACCAAAGCUACUUAGGUCAGAACCUUUUUCCCACCCCCUUUGGUGAAGUUGUUUCACACAUCUGUAAUAUAGAUUCCCUUGUCAUAGUCUUCAUUCUUUUCUGCAAUCUCCCAGUCUCCUAAAUGACUUUUUAAAAUUUGCAUACAUUAAAGUUCACUCUUUAUGUCAUAAAAGUCUCGAACUCCUGCCUUGGCCUCCCAAAAGUGCUGGGAUUAACAGUACAACCCACUGUGCCCAGCUGACAUAAAUUUUUAAUUCAGUUGGAUAAAUACCUAGAAGCAGGUUGCUGGAUCAUAUGGUAAGACUAGUUAUAGUUUUGUAAGAAACUGCCAAACUCUAUUCCAGAGUGGCUGUACCAUUUUGCAUUCCUAUUAGCAAUGAAUGAGAGUUCCUCUUGCUCCACGUUCUUAACAGCACUUAGUUCUAUCUGGUUUUUGGAUUUUAGCCCUUCUGGUAGGUAUGUAGUGUCCCCACUUUAUUAUUAUUAUUAUUUUAAAGAGAUGGGGUCUCACUGUGUU
rnacentral:lncRNA from 1 species